CACGUUUCAUUAUACCGAUUACAAGCUUCUUAAGUGGAGUCGCUACGUAUACAUUGAAUUAGAUGAACGUAUAUGUAUAUACGCAAUGAAGACGACGAAUUAAUUUCAUUAGGUAAGUAUAUAGGUAGGUACCCUUCCUUUUAAAAAGUUAGCAAGCAGUAUAGAUAUACGUAUUUGAUUCAAAGAUUUAAAUUCAAAUAAAGAGCACUUUAUAAUUGCACUUCUGAGCUGCCUCUACCUACACUAACCGUUUAGAUAGAAUAAUGUGGUCUUAUUGCUCUAUACCAUUACUCUAGAAGCUUAGUUAUUUUGAAAAAUAAACUCACAAUCUCACAUUAACAAACAAUAAUUACUUAUUUAUUAUAGGUACCUACAAGACGAUAGAGGGAUAUUCUAAACAUUGAGUGAAUUAAUUUUCACAAAUGUAACUGAUUUAGUGAACUAUUUCAAAAUAGAAAAUUCUUAUGUAAAUUUAAAGUUUUAUUGAAGGACUGUUAAGGAUUUGCUUUGUGAUAAUGGUAAAUCUCUUUUAUUCUAUUUUAGAUUAUAAUCCUUUUUAUAAGCACCCAAAUGAGGGUAUUAAUUGGACUUUAUGGCACAGAACUGUCAAAAAUUGCCUAUAGCAACGAUACUGCCACUCGCAAAACUUGCUGUAUUCAUUUCAUAUAGAUCUUUGGAUUUAUGAGGAACCACUUUACUUUGUGCGAUUUCGAAUUCACGUAAUAUUUCGUAAGAAUAAACGUUUUCCAUUUCAGCUAUACACUCAUUUCCAACAGCGAAUUGUUUGAUAAAAAGUAAACAGUCUCAGUAUCCAUAGCAACACAAAAAACGCCAACUAUCUACACCACUCAUAUUUGAAGUUGUGCUAAAAUAGAAUAAAACGCUGCUCUUAUUACGAAAAUGCAAAAUUUGAAAAUCGUCUUUACACAAGGAAUGGCCGGCAGUGAGGAUGUGGUGGGCAAAGGAUGAUUUUUGUUUAGGGAUUGAUAAAGAAGGGUAUUAUUUUGAACGACUAGUUUGUCCAAUUAAUAAGCAGCAGGGCAAUAUCUAGAAGGCAGUUGGUAAACACGGGAUCGAUAAAGGAAGUGGUUGGUCUUUGGUUUUAACUAGGAAUUCAUUUCCUGAAAAGCAUAGUUGGAGCGGAAGUAGGUUGGAAAUUACUUGUGAAAUGGUGCCAAGGCAAGGUAUAUAAACUUAUCUGGGAAAGGGAAGAUGAAGAUGAUAUUUAGAAUCGUGUAUUCUGUAGAUAUACUUUUGAACAAUCCUAAGUGUAGGUAAAAAUAUUAUCAAAAACUUAAAUUGUAGUAGAAGUAUGACAUAAAAUAAUGUGAGCAAUUUAUCUAGAACUCUAAAAUGAAUGAGGGUUUUAUAGGUACUACUUACAAGCUCGAAAGAACUUCUCUGCUCAUGAUAUUUGAAGGGUAACUUUUGGAAUUUGUAAACGUAUGUGGACUGUAACUGUGGUGGGUGCAACAGGCACUGAGUUUUUAAAUGGUAAGGUGUAAGAAAUUGGCACCUCAUUCCUUGGGUUGUGAUUAGUAGGUAAUGCAAGUAAGCCGAACUUUUACAUUCGUUGAAUGCUAAAUAACAUAAUACUAAGCAAACCUUACAUUACACGGCGACCAGUUUGUAAGUUGAGGCACUGCAAAUGCAAUUGGGAGUUGGGACUAUGUAACUGUUUGUGUAUUUUUUGUAUACAUAAUAAUAUUACUAAUGCUAAACUGAAACUUGACCACCAUUUUGACAGCUAUUACAGAUAGUACAUUGAUAAACGCAGUCACUUCCAAAAAAAGGCCCACUUCUAUCGACUUUUUUUUAAAUGCCGAAAAUAUAAUGAAUUUUAAAUUAUGUGUUUAACUUUUUUCUAUAUUGAUGCACAGUUGUCUUUUUUUCAAUAAUAAAAGAUAAACAUAAGCAAUGAUUUAAAAUGUUUCAAUGGAUCAUAUCUCUUUUUCUAUUAGAGAUGUAAAAAAAUACUCAACUGUUUCUGUAGUAUGGAGGGGGACUCAAUCUGAAUGCGCCCUUACCACCCCCAACUAAACAAUUUAAAUUGCCACCAUCACUUGCAAUGCACCAAUGGCAAUUUGGAUUGGACGUUCAUAACUUAGGUAUUCAAAAACAAGAUACGAAAAAUCGCAUACGAUUUUCAAUACGGGAAUUCUUUAUUUGAUGUCAAUUUUUAAUUUUAAGUUUCAAAAAGGAUCUUUAACACAGUAAAGUUUAAAUGUUUCUUUUGUAUCUACCGCCGCUAAGUACCUACUUGAUAUUUUGGCAAAAAUACCAUCGAGUGGAAAACAUUCAUAUGCGCUACACCUAUAGAUUUUAAACUGUUAGUUCACUUUUUGAUAGGGAAAGAAAUGCAUUUUUAAGAAAAACGUACCGUACCGUAAAAAGAAUGUUUUUCGGAGGCCAAAUAAUAAAUAAAAGGUGGUAUUCAAUUCAAAAAAAAAAUUGAAAGUCCAUAUUUUGAAAUAAUUCGUCCAAUUGAAAAUCUGAUUGCACCCUCGUGUCUGUAGACUGUAGAGAAGAAAAAAUAAGGAGCUUACUCUAAAACAGUCUGUAGUAGUAGUGGGCAAUGGAAACAGUUGACUGAUAGUAGACUGGUACCAAACUUUUCAU